UACGUAGGUGGCAAGCGUUGUCCGGAUUUACUGGGUGUAAAGGGCGUGCAGCCGGGAAUGCAAGUCAGAUGUGAAAUCCCGCGGCUCAACCGCGGAACUGCAUUUGAAACUGUGUUUCUUGAGUACUGGAGAGGCAGACGGAAUUCCUAGUGUAGCGGUGAAAUGCGUAGAUAUUAGGAGGAACACCGGUGGCGAAGGCGGUCUGCUGGACAGCAACUGACGGUGAGGCGCGAAAGCGUGGGGAGCAAACAGG
rnacentral:rRNA from 1 species